AUGCGAGUCGAACGGUAACGGGUCUUCUUAUGCUGACGAGUGGCGAACGGGUGAGUAAUACGUCGGAACGUGCCCAGUAAUGGGGGAUAGCUCGGCGAAAGCCGGAUUAAUACCGCAUACACCCUGAAGGGGAAAGUGGGGGAUCGCAAGACCUCACGUUAUUGGAGCGGCCGAUGGCUGAUUAGCUAGUUGGUACGGUAAAGGCCUACCAAGGCGACUAUCACUAGCUGGGCUGAGAGGACGAUCAGCCACACUGGGACUGAGACACGGCCCAGACUCCUACGGGACGCUCCACUGGGGAAUUUUGGACAAUGGGGGAAACCCUGAUCCAGCAAUGCCGCGUGUGCGAACAAGGCCUUCGGGUUGUAAAGCACUUUUGUCAGGCAACAAAUCCUUUGGGCUAAUACCCUACGGGGAUGACGGGACCUGAAGAAUAACCACCGGCUAACUACCUGCCAUCACCCGCGGUAAUACGUAGGGUGCAAGCGUUAAUCGGAAUUACUGGGCGUAAAGCGUGCGCAGGCGGUUGUGUAAGAGAGGUGUGAAAUCCCCGGGCUUAACCUGUGAAUUGCGUUUGUGACUGCACGACUAGAGAGUGUCAAAGGGGGGUGGAAUUCCACGUGUAGCAGUGACAUGCGUAGAUAUGUGGAGGAUCACCAAUGGCGAAGGCAGCCCCCUGGGAUAACACUGACGCUCAUGCACGAAAGCGUGGGGAGCAAACAGGAUUAGAUACCCUGGUAGUCCACGCCAUAAACGAUGUCAACUAGUUGUUGGGGAUUUACUUCCUUGGUAACGUAGCUAACGCGUGAAGUUGACCGCCUGGGGAGUACGGCCGCAAGGUUAAUACUCAAAGGAAUUGACGGGGACCCGCACAAGCGGUGGAUGAUGUGGAUUAAUUCGAUGCAACGCGAAAAACCUUACCUACCCUUGACAUGGCAGGAACUUUCCAGAGAUGGAUUGGUGCUCGAAAGAGAACCUGCACACAGGUGCUGCAUGGCUGUCGUCAGCCCGUGUCGUGAGAUGUUGGGUUAAGUCCCGCAACGAGCGCAACCCUUGUCAUUAGUUGCUACGAAAGGGCACUCUAAUGAGACUGCCGGUGACAAACCGGAGGAAGGUGGGGAUGACGUCAAGUCCUCAUGGCCCUUAUGGGUAGGGCUUCACACGUCAUACAAUGGUCGGUACAGAGGGUUGCCAAGCCGCGAGGUGGAGCCAAUCCCAGAAAACCGAUCGUAGUCCGGAUCGCAGUCUGCAACUCGACUGCGUGAAGUCGGAAUCGCUAGUAAUCGCGGAUCAGAAUGCCGCGGUGAAUACGUUCCCGGGUCUUGUACACACCGCCCGUCACACCAUGGGAGUGGGUUCUACCAGAAGUGGCUAGUCUAACCGAAAGGAGGACGGUCACCACGGUAGGAUUCAUGACUG
rnacentral:rRNA from 1 species